UAGGGACAGCUGUUAACCACCCUCAGAAAAUGAGAUGGAAAGACAGCAAAGAAACAAUAACUUUGCCAGUGCCAAGGAGCAGUGCACAACUUGAUGUGCACAGCUCAGGGACAGCAGCAAUCAAGCUCACAGGAAUCAGAAUCCAGGGUGGGAGAUGAUUUUUGGAGGAAAAUGCUGCCACACCACAUUCCCUCCCUCCCUCUGAAGCUGUUGAUGUACCUGCAGGGGCAGCCUGGAGGGUUGGACUCCCACAUGACCCUGACACUGCAACUAGGGCUUUGCAUGGAAGUGAGCCUAAGAAAAAAGCACUUCUAAAGCUCCCUGACAAAGAACUACAGCAUGCUCAAACACAGGAUUCCUGG